rnacentral:rRNA from 1 species
UUCUGGCUCAGGAUGAACGCUAGCUACAGGCUUAACACAUGCAAGUCGAGGGGCAGCAUUGGAGUAGCAAUACUCAGAUGGCGACCGGCGCACGGGUGAGUAACACGUAUCCAACCUGCCGCUUACUCGGGGAUAGCCUUUCGAAAGAAAGAUUAAUACCCGAUGGUAUAAAGAGUUCGCAUGUUCUCUUUAUUAAAGAAUUUCGGUAAGCGAUGGGAUGCGUUCCAUUAGAUAGUUGGCGGGGUAACGGCCCACCAAGUCUACGAUGGAUAGGGGUUCUGAGAGGAAGGUCCCCCACAUUGGAACUGAGACACGGUCCAAACUCCUACGGGAGGCAGCAGUGAGGAAUAUUGGUCAAUGGACGAGAGUCUGAACCAGCCAAAAGUAGCGUGAAGGAUGACUGCCCUAUGGGUUGUAAACUUCUUUUAUAAGGGAAUAAAGUGAGGGACGUGUCCCUUUUUGUAUGUACCUUAUGAAUAAGGAUCGGCUAACUCCGUGCCAGCCGCCGC